rnacentral:lncRNA from 1 species
UUUAAGUUACUGUUAAAAUAACAUGUAUACUAAUUAUGUUUCCUUAAGAUCUUGCCCCAAGCUGAGAGACAAGUUCUAAUUAAUUUUAUGUGUUUUGGAUUACCAAUAGCAAUCAAUUAUUAUAGACUGGACAAUUGAUCUGUCAAAUUAAUUACCACGACGACAAUUUUUAAAUAAAACAUAACUAUUAAAUGAUUUCAAUACAAAUUAAUAUCAAAUCUAUUAAAAUUGAAAAAAA